GGGGAUAUAACGCAGGGGUUAGCGUGUUUGCUUUGCAAGCAAAAAGUCGUGGGUUCGAAAAAAUCUAGUAUUUCCC
rnacentral:tRNA from 1 species